rnacentral:rRNA from 1 species
GACGAACGCUGGCGGCGUGCUUAACACAUGCAAGUCGAACGGAAAGGCCCUGCGUUUGUGGGGUGCUCGAGUGGCGAACGGGUGAGUAACACGUGAGUAACCUGCCCUUGACUUUGGGAUAACUUCCGGAAACUGGGGCCAAUACCGGAUAGGAGCUCCUGCUGCAUGGUGGGGGUUGGAAAGUUUCGGCGGUUGGGGAUGGACUCGCGGCUUACCAGCUUGUUGGUGGGGUAGUGGCUUACCAAGGCAGUGACGGGUAGCCGGCCUGAGCGGGUGACAGGCCACGUUGGGACUACGAUACGGCCCAGACCCGUCCGGGAGACAGCAGUGGGGACUCUAGCCCAAUCGGCGGAAGCAUGAUGCAGAAACGCCGCGUGCGGGGGCACGGGCAUCGGGUUGUAAACCGCUUUCUGGUGUGAGGAUGCGUUAGCGACGGUACUAGGUAAAGAAGCACCAGCUACCUACGUG